GUGACUCAUGCCCAUCCUUUUAUAAACGGAAAGAAUGUCUCGCGUGACAAUGAGUUAAUGACACGAUAUAAACAGAUGAUUUUUAUUUGCAAGAUAUACUCUCGGUCGAUCGAACGAUCGAUCGCCAAAAUCAUUUCACGCUACGCACGAUCAAAUAAAUCUCUUGCUGGCUAUAUCGUUGCAACGAGCUGUCGGGACAAAUAUCGUAUCCAGCGGAGACGAAGCCUGUGGAUCAAAGCUAAUUCUAAUGACGCGACAAAAUUAUAGAAAAAUUUCAGCAAUUUGAACAAAGAAGUCGUUUCGUUCAAGAUGUUCGUAAGUAGAUAAAGUCAAACGGAAAUCAUGAAACAAGCGUAAGAACAGCGAGUUUUCGCAAAGCAUCAAGCAACGUGACCCAUUUGAAAGCGAAAGAAAAAAAUGCCUAUCACCGUCCCCCGGAAUGUUUCGUGCGCAGUUCGAAAGCCGUCCAAGUGGCCGAGAUUUUAUGAGAAAUUAUACAGUUAACUAGCCGAUAGCUUAGUUUCCCGAAUAUGUUACUAUCUAUAUAUUUAAUCAUUGUAUGAAAGAUACAUGUAUGAAAAUAUUAAACGAUAUAAAUAUACUAUUGGGGUAAUUAAUGAGAAUAUGAAGAGCGAGAGAGAUGAAACUCUUAUUUUUCUUUUAAAGGAAAUAAAUAUACUCUCGUGGUUGAAAUAUUAUUACACGAAGACUUUUUCCAAUUAGUCUACGUACUAUGUAUCUUAAAGCGUGAUUGUUAACGUGUGAAAAAUAUCCCUCAAAAAAUGCUUAAUAACCAAGAUAAAAGUAUCUACAAAUCUUUAGAUUUUAUUUCUAGUAUGUUAAGUAAGCAAAUUAAAAUAUCUUUUGAAAAUUGUGAAUUCGAAAAAUGAUAACAAUAAGAAUAUUGAAAAUUAUUUCGGGCAUAUGAUAAAUUAUCAAUAGAAAUAUUAGAUUUGUGUUAUUUAACAUCGAUAAAUUUACUAACACAUCAGAAAUGUGAUAUGAAGAUAAG
rnacentral:misc_RNA from 1 species